CCGGUUGCGAUCAGUUCGGAUCGAAGUUUGGACGUGGAAGCAGCCGAAAUGUUGGAUCUUUUCCAGUUUAUAACCUGGUUUAUAUUGGCCCUAAUAUGGUUUCCGCUUAAGAUCUUGCUGAAGAUUAUCUGCUUUUGAGAUGUAGACGAUUCCUCGGAUACCUCGCGGCUCCACUGUACGGUGAUGAUCCCCUGAACGGCUCACUUGCCCAAUUACUAUUCCGAAAUACACUGGAUUAGCGCGCUGUAA